UACGAAGGGGGGCUAGCGUUGUUCGGAAUUACUGGGCGUAAAGCGUAUGCAGGCGGACUUUUAAGUCGGGGGGUGAAAUCCCGAGGCUCAACCUCGGAACUGCCUUCGAUACUGGAAGUCUUGAGUCCGGGAGAGGUGAGUGGAACUCCGAGUGUAGAGGUGAAAUUCGUAGAUAUUCGCAAGAACACCAGUGGCGAAGGCGGCUGACUGGUCCGGUUCUGACGCUGAGGCGCGAAAAGCGUGGGGGAGCAAACAGG
rnacentral:rRNA from 1 species